GUCCAUGUCAUUAAUAUUCCUAGGUAAAAAUGUCCAUGUCCUCUUUAUAGGAAAAAUAUUAAUGAAUCAAAUCAUUUAAGUUUAAACAAUGGAAACGUAUAAGAGUUGUUUAUUUAUAUUUUUAAUAAAAUGUAUGUCCCCAGACUAAUUUUCCUAGGGAAUCAUGUCCAUGUCAUUAAUAUUCCUAGGUAAAAUCGUAUAUGCCCUUUUUUUGUAAUGUUAAUAAAAAUGAUAUAUUUUGAUAUUGUUAUAUA
rnacentral:lncRNA from 1 species